rnacentral:rRNA from 1 species
CCACGGGGGGCAGCAGUGAGGAAUAUUGCACAAUGGGGGGAACUCUGAUGCAGCAACGCCGCGUGGAGGAUGACACUUUUCGGAGCGUAAACUCCUUUUAUAUAGGAAGAAGAUGACGGUACUAUAUGAAUAAGCGCCGGCUAACUCCGUGCCAGCAGCCGCGGUAAUACGGAGGGCGCAAGCGUUACUCGGAAUCACUGGGCGUAAAGAGCGUGUAGGCGGAUUAAAAAGUCAGAAGUGAAAUCCUAUAGCUUAACUAUAGAACUGCUUCUGAAACUCUUAAUCUAGAAUAUGGGAGAGGUAGAUGGAAUUUCUGGUGUAGGGGUAAAAUCCGUAGAGAUCAGAAGGAAUACCGAUUGCGAAGGCGAUCUACUAGAACAUUAUUGACGCUGAGACGCGAAAGCGUGGGGAGCAAACAGGAUUAGAUACCCUGGUAGUC